rnacentral:rRNA from 1 species
GUAGGUCCCGAGCGUUGUCCGGAUUUAUUGGGCGUAAAGCGAGCGCAGGCGGUUAGAUAAGUCUGAAGUUAAAGGCUGUGGCUUAACCAUAGUACGCUUUGGAAACUGUUUAACUUGAGUGCAAGAGGGGAGAGUGGAAUUCCAUGUGUAGCGGUGAAAUGCGUAGAUAUAUGGAGGAACACCGGUGGCGAAAGCGGCUCUCUGGCUUGUAACUGGCGCUGAGGCUCGAAAGCGUGGGGAGCAAACAGGAUUAGAUACCCUGGUAGUCCACGCCGUAAACGAUGAGUGCUAGGUGUUAGACCCUUUCCGGGGUUUAGUGCCGCAGCUAACGCAUUAAGCACUCCGCCUGGGGAGU